GGUUGGACAGGAAUGAAAAGAGAACAUAGAGAUGAGACCAGAAAUGUGGACCUGCUGACCUUGGUAUUGUGGGAUCCUGACACAUACAUUCUCCAGAUUCACUGAGCUAUCACUGGGUGGGCUCUGAGGAGGUUCCUAUGAGGAAAAUAGGGACCUCAGCUUGCCGCCACCACCCACAGAGUAGGCUCAUAGAAUUUCAUCGCAGAAAAGAAUUCAUGACAUACCAAUGAGAAGCAGAAUUAAAUGUGUAUAUGCUCAAAGGAGAACAAUUCUGUGAGAUAUGCACUUCUACUAUCUGCAUUUCGAAGACACAGAAACUGAAGUGUGGAGAGAUGAAUCUGUUUGCCAGAGUAACAGCAACCUCAUUUUGCUUCUUCUUGUGUCCCAUGAGGAAUUCUGUGAUAGCCUGGCCGAUUCUUCAGAAAGCUGCCUCUGUCAUUGGAUCAAGAGGUAAAAGUGGUAAACAUAGAAAACAACUGAAGAUAUUCCAAAGGAACACCCAGUAUGGCGAUUAGGAGACAGAACUUUGGAAACCGCACACUCUGGACUAACUCCCAGCUCUUCACCUCUUAGCUGUAUGAUCUUACGAAGUUGCAUAUUUAGACUCAGGUGAAUCAUCUAUAAAAUGGGGACAAUAAUUCCUAUCUCACAAUAUUAUGAAUAACGAAAAACUCAAUAAAAUGAGUUCAUAUGCAUAAAGUACUUAAAACUGUUUCCAGCAUAUUGAUAAUGCCCCUCUUAAUAAAUAAUCUAUUAUUCAAAUAUUUAUAUUAUCUAGAGCACAUGGGAUAGUGUUUCUACCUGUAAAUUUCAAUUCAAACUUCACAAUUAUAUUAACUCAUAAAGUCAAGCAUAGACUGCCGGUACAUCUCUCUUAGUUACUUUUCUCUUCUCUGAGAAAUACCUAACACCCAAAGUUAAAGGAG
rnacentral:lncRNA from 1 species